GAUGAAGAACGUAGCGAAAUGCGAUAAGUAAUGUGAAUUGCAGAAUUCAGUGAAUCAUCGAAUCUUUGAACGCACAUUGCGCCCGCCAGUAUUCUGGCGAGCAUGCCUGUUCGAGCGUCAUUUCAACCAUCAAGCCCCAGGCUUGUGUUGGAGCCCUGCGGCUGCCGCAGCCUCGCAAAACCAGUGGCGGGCUCGCUAUCACACCGAGUGCAGUAGUUUACUCUUCGCUCAGGGCGUGUGGCGGGUGCUAGCCGUGAAACCCCCAACUUCUCAAGGUUGACCUCGGAUCAGGUAGGAAUACCCGCUGAACUUAAGCAUAUCAAUAAGCGGAGGA
rnacentral:misc_RNA from 1 species